AUUGAACGCUGGCGGCAGGCUUAACACAUGCAAGUCGAGCGGGGGAAGGUAGCUUGCUACUGGACCUAGCGGCGGACGGGUGAGUAAUGCUUAGGAAUCUGCCUAUUAGUGGGGGACAACAUCUCGAAAGGGAUGCUAAUACCGCAUACGUCCUACGGGAGAAAGCAGGGGAUCUUCGGACCUUGCGCUAAUAGAUGAGCCUAAGUCGGAUUAGCUAGUUGGUGGGGUAAAGGCCUACCAAGGCGACGAUCUGUAGCGGGUCUGAGAGGAUGAUCCGCCACACUGGGACUGAGACACGGCCCAGACUCCUACGGGAGGCAGCAGUGGGGAAUAUUGGACAAUGGGGGGAACCCUGAUCCAGCCAUGCCGCGUGUGUGAAGAAGGCCUUAUGGUUGUAAAGCACUUUAAGCGAGGAGGAGGCUACUUUAGUUAAUACCUAGAGAUAGUGGACGUUACUCGCAGAAUAAGCACCGGCUAACUCUGUGCCAGCAGCCGCGGUAAUACAGAGGGUGCGAGCGUUAAUCGGAUUUACUGGGCGUAAAGCGUGCGUAGGCGGCUUAUUAAGUCGGAUGUGAAAUCCCCGAGCUUAACUUGG
rnacentral:rRNA from 1 species